rnacentral:rRNA from 1 species
AUGGGGUGGCUCAGUCAGGCGACCUUCUGUGCAUGCUGCCGUCUAUUUGACAUUACUCCCCAAACGUACGGAAUUUCCUAUUUGCCACAUGUUGUGGCAAAAAACUGGGCAAUCACACACACAAUCGUUGAAUGGGCCGGCCCAUUUGAGCGUUCGAGCCACAAUAUUGUGAAUCUUCUGGAAGAAAAUGCCAGUGUGAUUCUCUUCCCCAUAGCGAUAACAUUCUACUUCACCUGGUGGUUCAUUCAUUUUGUUGAUGGAUUCUUCUGUCCAAUCUAUGCACAAUUGGGUAUCAACAUUUUUGGUCUUGGCUUCAUCACUUCUGUUACUUUCAUAUUUUUUGUUGGGGUCUUCAUGUCAUCUUGGGUUGGAGCAUCUGUUCUUGGCAUUGGUGAAUGGAUCAUCAAGCGCAUACCACUUGCAUUCAAGGAGGCAGUCAUCACACGACAUCCUCAUAUUGGGGAAUAUGCAUUUGGAUUCAUUACCUCAUCAGUCUCGCUCCAGAGCUAUUCUGGUCAAGAGGACCUUUACUGUGUCUAUGUGCCGACCAACCAUCUCUACAUUGGUGAUAUCUUCAUGGUGAACUCGAAGGAUGUGAUAAGGCCUAAUCUUUCUGUGCGUGAAGGCAUUGCUGAUGUGAUCAACUCUGAACAAUACUCUGCUGGCGACCAACCCAAGCAUUCACAUUUCUCCAUGGAUAAAUUUGACUACAUUUCUAUGGUUUUCGUGCAUGGUUCGACGACUGGCCUGACUAGUCUAGACUACAUUGACCUGCUCCUGCUACACACCAGCAUGGUAGGACGUAAAAUCUGCAUGUGCAGGCGCUUGUCUUGGCACCGCAUUCAUCAGUUCGUUCCAUGGCUUUCAGAACCAUAUGGUUGGUGGGUGCAUGAUCAUGGCUGCACGACUGUCCAGCAUGUAGGAUGUGCUCGCCACCAGAGACUUCGCUCAAACCAGCGGCAGCGGUGA